rnacentral:rRNA from 1 species
AUGAUAAAUUCAGGACGCACGGAAUUGCUCCUUUCCCUUUCUCUGCUUCUUUUCCUUUCUUUGCUUGGAGGGCGCUACUGCUCUUCUUUCUCUUUCUCUGCUUCGAAGGUGGUGGUGGUGCUGCUACUGCUUGUAGGGUACUGCUGCUUGGAGGAUGUUGCUGGUCUUCUUUCCCUUUCUUUGCUUGGAGGGCGCUGCUGCUCUUCUUUCUCUUUCUCUGCUUCGAAGGUGGUGGUGGUGCUGCUACUGCUUGUAGAGUACUGCUGCUUGGAGGAUGUUGCUGGUCUUCUUUCCCUUUCUCUGCUUGGAGGGUGCUGCUGCUCCUCUUUCUCUUUCUCUGCUUCAAAUGUAGAAAUGUCAGUUCAGUGUGUAAUAUGA